rnacentral:rRNA from 1 species
CGGCCCAAAUUCCUACGGGRGGCAGCAGUGGGAAUCUUGCMCAAUGGAGGAAACUCUGAUGCAGCGAUGCCGCGUGAGUGAAGAAGGCCUUUGGGUUGUAAAGCUCUUUCGUCGGGGAAGAAAAUGACUGUACCCGAAUAAGAAGGUCCGGCUAACUUCGUGCCAGCAGCCGCGGUAAUACGAAGGGACCUAGCGUAGUUCGGAAUUACUGGGCUUAAAGAGUUCGUAGGUGGUUGAAAAAGUUGGUGGUGAAAUCCCAGAGCUUAACUCUGGAACUGCCAUCAAAACUUUUCAGCUAGAGUAUGAUAGAGGAAAGCAGAAUUUCUAGUGUAGAGGUGAAAUUCGUAGAUAUUAGAAAGAAUACCAAUUGCGAAGGCAGCUUUCUGGAUCAUUACUGACACUGAGGAACGAAAGCAUGGGUAGCGAAGAGGAUUAGAUACCCUCGUAGUCCAUGCCGUAAACGAUGUGUGUUAGACGUUGGAAAUUUAUUUUCAGUGUCGCAGGGAAACCGAUAAACACACCGCCUGGGGAGUACGACCGCAAGGUUAAAACUCAAAUGAAUUGACGGGGACCCGCACAAGUAGUGGAGCAUGUGGUUUAAUUCGAAGAUACGCGCAGAACCUUACCAACACUUGACAUGUUCGUCGCGACUCUAAGAGAUUAGAGUUUUCGGUUCGGCCGGACGAAACACAGGUGCUGCAUGGCUGUCGUCAGCUCGUGUCGUGAGAUGUUGGGUUAAGUCCCGCAACGAGCGCAACCCUCACUUUUAGUUGCCAUCAUUAAGUUGGGCACUCUGAAAGAACUGCCAGUGAUAAGCUGGAGGAAGGUGGGGAUGACGUCAAGUCCUCAUGGCCCUUACGUGUUGGGCUACACACGUGCUACAAUGGCAUCUACAACAGGAAGCAAAACGGCAACGUUAAGCAAAUCCCGAAAAGAUGCCUCAGUUCGGAUUGCACUCUGCAACUCGAGUGCAUGAAGCUGGAAUUACUAGUAAUCGUGGAUCAGCGUGCCACGGUGAAUGCGUUCCCGGGUCUUGUACACACCGCCCGUCACACCAUGGGAGUUGGUUCUACCUUAAGGCAAGGUU